rnacentral:rRNA from 1 species
CAAUAGCGUAUAUUAAAGUUGUUGCAGUUAAAAAGCUCGUAGUUGGAUUUCUGGUUGAAGCGACCGGUCGGGCGUUGAUUCGUCUGCACUGGAGUCGGUUUUGGCCAUCCUCUAGGAAAGUGCGUCUGGUAUUAAGUUAUCGGGCGUAUGAUCCUGGUCUUUUACUGUGAAAAAAUUAGAGUGUUUAAAGCAGGCCUUCGCCUUGAAUACAUUAGCAUGGAAUAAUAAGAUAGGACUUUGGUCUAUUUUGUUGGUUUGCAGACCGAAGUAAUGAUUAAUAAGGAUAGUUGGGGGUAUUUAUAUUCCGAUGUCAGAGGUGAAAUUCUUAGAUUUUCGGAAGAUAAACUUAUGCGAAAGCAUUUACCAAGGAUGUUUUCAUUAA